AAAGCCAGUAGGUCGCGGUUCCGCUCUCGCGGAACUCUGAGAGGUGGGUGGAGCGACGAGAUCAGCCAAUCUGCUCACCGGUCGUGGCGGAGCCAGCCCAAAGGGCGCGUCGUUGAAGAACGGCGACUGACCAAGGCCUGUCGAGAACACACCGCUAGGGGGUCGUUUUGGUUCCAUACACACGACUUGGUGAUCGGACAGUUUGUUUCAAGUGCUGCCUAUAAAUUAUACGGCCUAUUUCCCCUGCGCCCGGUCUUGAUGCGUUUUAUUGCGCUGCG
rnacentral:misc_RNA from 1 species